GCCUUUGUAGCUCAACGGCAGAGCAUACCCUUGAAACGGGUGAGAUAGAGGUUCAAUUCCUCUCAAAGGCA
rnacentral:tRNA from 1 species